CCUACGGGGAGUAGCAGUGAGGAAUAUUGGUCAAUGGACGAGAGUCUGAACCAGCCAAGUAGCGUGAAGGAUGACUGCCCUAUGGGUUGUAAACUUCUUUUAUAUGGGAAUAAAACGUUCCACGUGUGGGAUUUUGUAUGUACCAUAUGAAUAAGGAUCGGCUAACUCCGUGCCAGCAGCCGCGGUAAUACGGAGGAUCCGAGCGUUAUCCGGAUUUAUUGGGUUUAAAGGGAGCGUAGGUGGAUUGUUAAGUCAGUUGUGAAAGUUUGCGGCUCAACCGUAAAAUUGCAGUUGAAACUGGCAGUCUUGAGUACAGUAGAGGUGGGCGGAAGUCGUGGUGUAGCGGUGAAAUGCUUAGAUAUCACGAAGAACUCCGAUUGCGAAGGCAGUUCACUGCACUGCAACUGACACUGAGGCUCGAAAGUGUGGGUAUCAAACAGGAUUAGAUACCCGGGUAGUC
rnacentral:rRNA from 1 species